CGGCCCAGAUUCUACGGGAGGCAGCAGUAGGGAUUCUUCCACAAUGGACGAAAGUCUGAUGGAGCAACGCCGCGUGAGUGAAGAAGGUUUCGGAUCGUAAAACUCUGUUGUUGGAGAAGAAUGUAUCUGAUAGUAACUGAUCAGGUAGUGACGGUAUCCAACCAGAAAGCCACGGCUAACUACGUGCCAGCAGCCGCGGUAAUACGUAGGUGGCAAGCGUUGUCCGGAUUUAUUGGGCGUAAAGCGAGCGCAGGCGGUUUCUUAAGUCUGAUGUGAAAGCCUUCGGCUCAACCGAAGAAGUGCAUCGGAAACUGGGAAACUUGAGUGCAGAAGAGGACAGUGGAACUCCAUGUGUAGCGGUGAAAUGCGUAGAUAUAUGGAAGAACACCAGUGGCGAAGGCGGCUGUCUGGUCUGUAACUGACGCUGAGGCUCGAAAGCAUGGGUAGCAAACAGGAUUAGAUACCCUGGUAGUCCAUGCCGUAAACGAUGAGUGCUAGGUGUUGGAGGGUUUCCGCCCUUCAGUGCCGCAGCUAACGCAUUAAGCACUCCGCCUGGGGAGUACGACCGCAAGGUUGAAACUCAAAGGAAUUGACGGGGGCCCGCACAAGCGGUGGAGCAUGUGGUUUAAUUCGAAGCAACGCGAAGAACCUUACCAGGUCUUGACAUCCUUUGACCACUCUAGAGAUAGAGCUUUCCCUUCGGGGACAAAGUGACAGGUGGUGCAUGGUUGUCGUCAGCUCGUGUCGUGAGAUGUUGGGUUAAGUCCCGCAACGAGCGCAACCCUUAUUACUAGUUGCCAGCAUUAAGUUGGGCACUCUAGUGAGACUGCCGGUGACAAACCGGAGGAAGGUGGGGACGACGUCAAAUCAUCAUGCCCCUUAUGACCUGGGCUACACACGUGCUACAAUGGAUGGUACAACGAGUUGCGAGACCGCGAGGUUUAGCUAAUCUCUUAAAACCAUUCUCAGUUCGGAUUGUAGGCUGCAACUCGCCUACAUGAAGCCGGAAUCGCUAGUAAUCGCGGAUCAGCAUGCCGCGGUGAAUACGUUCCCGGGCCUUGUACACACCGCCCGUCACACCAUGAGAGUUUGUAACACCCAAAGCCGGUGAGGUAACCCUUCGGGGAGCCAGCCGUCUAAG
rnacentral:rRNA from 1 species